rnacentral:rRNA from 1 species
ACACUGGGACUGAGACACGGCCCAGACUCCUACGGGAGGCAGCAGUGAGGAAUAUUGCGCAAUGGACGAAAGUCUGACGCAGCGACGCCGCGUGGGUGAUGAAGGUUUUCGGAUCGUAAAGCCCUUUUCUUGGUGACGAAAAGGACGGUAGCCAAGGAAUAAGUGUCGGCUAACUACGUGCCAGCAGCCGCGGUAAAACGUAGGACGCAAGCGUUAUCCGGAAUUACUGGGCGUAAAGCGCGCGCAGGCGGGUUAUCAAGUCAUGUGUGAAAGCUCCCGGCUAAACUGGGAGAGGUCAGAUGAUACUGAUAGCCUGGAGUGCAUCAGAGGUAAGUGGAAUUCCGCGUGUAGUGGUGAAAUGCGUAGAUAUGCGGAGGAACACCAGUGGCGAAGGCGGCUUACUGGGAUGCAACUGACGCUGAGGCGCGAAAGCAUGGGUAGCGAACGGGAUUAGAAACCCCGGUAGUCCAUGCCGUAAACGAUGUGUACUAGAUGUUCGUGUGUCGUAAAGGCAUGUGAGUGUCGAAGCUAACGCGAUAAGUACACCGCCUGGGGAGUACGAUCGCAAGGCUAAAACUCAAAGGAAUUGACGGGGGCCCGCACAAGCAGCGGAGCGUGUGGUUUAAUUCGAGACUACGCGAAGAACCUUACCUAGAUUUGACAUGGUAGUGGUAGAGAAAUGAAAGUGGAUCGACCCUUCGGGGAGCUAUCACAGGUGCUGCAUGGCUGUCGUCAGCUCGUGUCGUGAGAUGUUCGGUUAAGUCCGAAAACGAGCGCAACCCCUAUCGUUAGUUACAAGUGUCUAGCGAGACUGCCCUCGACAAGGGGGAGGAAGGUGGGGAUGAUGUCAAGUCAGCAUGGCCUUUAUAUCUAGGGCUACACACACGCUACAAUGGCGCGUACAAUAGGUAGCGAAGCCGCGAGGUGGAGCCAAUCCAGUAAAGCGCGUCGUAGUUCGGUUUACAGGCUGCAACUCGCCUGUAUGAAGUUGGAGUUGCUAGUAACCGCAAAUCAGCACGUUGCGGUGAAUACGUUCCCGGGCCUUGUACACACCGCCCGUCACGUCACGGGAGUUGGUCACGCCUGAAGUCGGGAGGCUAACCGUAAGGGAGCUACCGCCGAAGGCAGGGCUGGUGACUGGGACGAAGUCGUAACAAGGUAGCUGUAGCGGAAGCUGCGGCUG